rnacentral:rRNA from 1 species
UGGCGUACGGGUGAGUAACACGUGGAUCAUCUACCUCUUAGUGGGGAAUAACUCUGGGAAACCGGAGCUAAUACCGCAUAAGCCUGGAAAGGGAAAGCAGCAAUGCGCUGAGAGAGGAGUCCGCGGCCGAUUAGCUAGUUGGCAGGGUAAAAGCCUACCAAGGCAUUGAUCGGUAGCCGGCCUGAGAGGGCACACGGCCACACUGGCACUGAAACACGGCCCAG